rnacentral:rRNA from 1 species
UGAACGCUGGCGGCGUGCUUAACACAUGCAAGUCGAACGGGAUCCAUCAGGCUUUGCUUGGUGGUGAGAGUGGCGAACGGGUGAGUAAUGCGUGACCGACCUGCCCCAUACACCGGAAUAGCUCCUGGAAACGGGUGGUAAUGCCGGAUGCUCCAGUUGAUCGCAUGGUCUUCUGGGAAAGCUUUCGCGGUAUGGGAUGGGGUCGCGUCCUAUCAGCUUGACGGCGGGGUAACGGCCCACCGUGGCUUCGACGGGUAGCCGGCCUGAGAGGGCGACCGGCCACAUUGGGACUGAGAUACGGCCCAGACUCCUACGGGAGGCAGCAGUGGGGAAUAUUGCACAAUGGGCGCAAGCCUGAUGCAGCGACGCCGCGUGAGGGAUGGAGGCCUUCGGGUUGUAAACCUCUUUUAUCGGGGAGCAAGCGAGAGUGAGUUUACCCGUUGAAUAAGCACCGGCUAACUACGUGCCAGCAGCCGCGGUAAUACGUAGG